rnacentral:rRNA from 1 species
GAUGAACGCUGGCGGCGUGCCUAAUACAUGCAAGUCGAGCGAACAGACGAGGAGCUUGCUCCUCUGACGAUAGCCGCGGACGGGUGAGUAACACGUGUAAAACCCACCUAUAAGACUGGGAAAACUUCGGGAAACCGGCGCUAAUACCGGAUAAUCUAUUGAACCGCAUGGUUCAAUAGUGAAAGACGGCUUUGCUGGCACUUAUAGAUGGAUCCCCGCCGCAUUAGCUAGUCGGUAAGGUAACGGCUUACCAAGGCAACGAGGCGUAGCCGACCUGAUGGGGGGAUCGGCGGCCUUGGAAGUGAGACACGGACAUGGCGACUGCGGGAGGGACCAGAAGGGAAGCGGACGCAAUGGGGGGAAACCUGACAGAACAAGCGCGCGCGAGAGAUGAAGAUGUUCGGUUCGUAAGACUCUGUUUUCAGUGAUGAACAGAUGUCUAAGUAACUAUGCCCGUCUUGACGGUAACUAGUCAGGAAGCCACGGCUAACUACGUG